rnacentral:rRNA from 1 species
UGCCAGACUCUUACGGGAGGCAGCAGUGAGGAAUAUUGGUCAAUGGGCGAGAGCCUGAACCAGCCAAGUCGCGUGAGGGAGGACGGCCCUACGGGUUGUAAACCUCUUUUGCCGGGGGACAAACGGCGGCACGCGUGCCGUCCUGAGGGUACCCGGAGAAAAAGCAUCGGCUAACUCCGUGCCAGCAGCCGCGGUAAUACGGAGGAUGCGAGCGUUAUCCGGAUUUAUUGGGUUUAAAGGGUGCGUAGGCGGACGCUUAAGUCAGCGGUAAAAUUGCGGGGCUCAACCUCGUCGAGCCGUUGAAACUGGGUGCCUUGAGUGGGCGAGAAGUACGCGGAAUGCGUGGUGUAGCGGUGAAAUGCAUAGAUAUCACGCAGAACUCCGAUUGCGAAGGCAGCGUACCGGCGCCCAACUGACGCUGAAGCACGAAGGCGUGGGUAUCGAACAGGAUUAGAUACCCCGGUAC